rnacentral:rRNA from 1 species
CCUACGGGAGGCAGCAGUGAGGAAUAUUGCUCAAUGGGCUUACGCCUGAACCAGCCAAGUCGCGUGAGGGAAGACUGCCCUAUGGGUUGUAAACCCCUUUUGUCAGGGAGCAAUUGGCGCUACGUGUAGCGUUAUCGAGAGUACCUGAAGAAAAAGCAUCGGCUAACUCCGUGCCAGCAGCCGCGGGAAUACGGAGGAUGCGAUCGGUAUCCGGAUUGAUUGGGUUUAAAGGGUGCGUAGGCGGAAUGCCAAGUCAGCGGUAAAAUCGCGGGGCUCAACCUCGCUCCGCCGUUGAAACUGGCGUUCUUGAGUGGGCGAGAGGUAUGCGGAAUGCGUGGUGUAGCGGUGAAAUGCAUAGAUAUCACGCAGAACUCCGAUUGCGAAGGCAGCAUACCGGCGCCCAACUGACGCUGAAGCACGAAAGCGUGGGUAUCGAACAGGAUUAGAUACCCCAGUAGUC